rnacentral:misc_RNA from 1 species
UACAGAGGGCGCGAGCGUUAAUCGGAUUUACUGGGCGUAAAGCGUGCGUAGGCGGAUUUUUAAGUCGGAUGUGAAAUCCCCGAGCUUACCUUGGGAAUUGCAUUCGAUACUGGGAAGCUAGAGUAUGGGAGAGGCUGGUGGAAUUCCAGGUGUAGCGGUGAAAUGCGUAGAGAUCUGGAGGAAUACCGAUGGCGAAGGCAGCCAUCUGGCAUAAUACUGACGCUGAGGUACGAAAGCAUGGGUAGCAAUCAGG